rnacentral:rRNA from 1 species
GAGUUUGAUCCUGGCUCAGAACGAACGCUGGCGGCAGGCUUAACACAUGCAAGUCGAGCGCCCCGCAAGGGGAGCGGCAGACGGGUGAGUAACGCGUGGGAAUCUACCCUUUGCUACGGAAUAACGCAUGGAAACGUGUGCUAAUACCGUAUGUGUCCUUCGGGAGAAAGAUUUAUCGGCAAAGGAUGAGCCCGCGUUGGAUUAGCUAGUUGGUGGGGUAAAGGCCUACCAAGGCGACGAUCCAUAGCUGGUCUGAGAGGAUGAUCAGCCACAUUGGGACUGAGACACGGCCCAAACUCCUACGGGAGGCAGCAGUGGGGAAUAUUGGACAAUGGGCGCAAGCCUGAUCCAGCCAUGCCGCGUGAGUGAUGAAGGCCUUAGGGUUGUAAAGCUCUUUCACCGGAGAAGAUAAUGACGGUAUCCGGAGAAGAAGCCCCGGC